rnacentral:rRNA from 1 species
GUUGUUUUUCCGAAAAUCAAUUAAGAAGGGCUUGAUUUUGUGUUGUAUUGACCUUAUCAGCUUUCUUCACUCUUUUUCGAGUCUUUCUUAAUGCACUUUUCGGUUAACAAGUCAACAUCAAUUUCUUUUGUUGUAAAAGGGUAUUUGGAAGGUGGCUUUCUUUUCGGAGAAAGUGUUUAUAGCCUUAUACCUCUACAAUCGGAGAGAUUGAGGUCUGCAGCGUAGAUCCUUCGGGGCUAGAUACACUUGUGCUAAGUUAUAGCUUUUCAUAGACAACUUGUUGACUAUGUUUAGUCAUGUAGCUUACCCGCUUGUGCUAUUUUACCUAC